GUGCCCACUCGCCAUUGUCCAAGAGAGAGAAAGACGUCAGUGUAUCCCUUUUCUUGUUCUCACACGAAUCCUUCUUCCCCUUUUCGUUUUUCCUCCCCACAGUGGCGGCUAGGGUUGCUGCCGUCGGCGCCGCAUCCGGCUCCCACUCCAUCAUCAGCUCGUAUUCCCCUCUCAUCUCUUUUUGUGCACGCGAAGAUGCAGUGGAGGUGGUUCUCAUCGGAGGAGGUGGGGGUUGAGGAGAGGAAAACAUCCACCGUGUCUCCAUCCUCCGCGUCCACGGCUGUCGCUGAGGUCUAGCGAGGUGAAGCGGGUGUCUGUGGGAGAACUAAGACGUAGUGCCCCUGCAAGCAACAUCUCCCUCGCUCCUGAGCCGCAGCACAGCGCCGUCCCAUCCAGAUGACGGAUUGACCACGAGAGUGGUGCUGCCAUGGUCGCCCUCGCCUCUUCUCCGUCGCCCAAUGCCGCCAAAUCCCCCUCCCCUUAUCACCAUUAGGAUCUGGGAGCUACAUGGACUUGGAGCAGCAAGUCAUGCCGAUGAGGGAAUCAGAGGUGAGAGCCAGAGGAGCCUCAUCAGUCCCCACUACUCUAUAAGGAAAGCUAGCGUUAACCCGAUCCAUGUUUUCUGCAUGUUAUGUGUUUGAUGAAAUUCCUGCAAGCCAAAUGUUCAGUGAGGCCCCCUAAUUCAGUUAUUUCAGCUGGUUGAUGUAGACAUUGCUGGUGAUUCACUUGCGAACAGUUAAUUAGAUUGAUUUUUUGUUAUGUUCAUUCACCUUAUUCAGAUAAUCACAUUCACAGAUUUAGUUUGCUUUGGUUAUGCCCAUGUUUUUUAGAUGUUAUGCCCAUGGUUUGUUUUCAGUAUUCCGUUUGGAGAAUGGAGUCAAGGCCUGUAUGUAAGAUGAUGGUGGAUAAGAACAAGGGGAAGAGGGCCCUGGCUUGCUUUCUCUAUGAUACAUUGCUUUUAAUUACAGUAUCCAACCCAAUAAGCGUCGUGUAAUGGGCGCCUCCUCCUCCGUGGGAGGCCAUCGGCAAGAGGAAGGAUUGCAUAUGCCACCUCUGCUCGUGCUUUGCUCAGGCCGCUCUCUUUUCCUCUCUGUCCCUGCUGCGACGGUGACUGGGUCGUCAGGCUCGAGCAGUCUUUCAACAUAUUCCUCAUGGAUGCGGUCGUUCUGAUACUCGAUGUGUUGUACCAUGAUCGUGACUACGCCAGGUUCUUCAUGCUCGAGACCAUCGCCAGAGUGCCGUAUUUCGCAAUCCAAGCCAGCAUUUCCCAGCAGGUUUGGUGCUUUUCAAGCUGUCAACAAUUAUUGUGGUUGACCAUGGGAAGGAAGCUUUUACCACUUGUGGAGAUUUCGGACCGAGUGAAGAAGACUUCCCUUUACCCAUGGAUUAUUCUUUCCUGUGCUUCUCUAUGCUGAGGUCAGCCGGUUCUGAUGUGCCGAAAAGGAGAGCAAGGGCACAGCAGUGCCUCCUUCCUAUCUUCGUGCAGGGAGGGGUGGCGAUCUGUCUAUGAAGUUUUAGAGGGAUUCAAAGGUGACCACUACUUGGUUUUCAUGGCCAUUAAAGUCGAGUGCUGAGUGGAUACUAUGGUGAGCUUAAUCAAAUAGCUUUGCGAGGAAUAGAAAGAGCCAGUGAUUGGGCAACGCUGCAUGCGUGGCUGCUUAUUCCUUCCUAGGGGUUGCCUUGUUAAGGAAACUUUCUGCUCGCAUGCCUCUCUCUCCUAGAGGCAUCCCUCCUUCUAGAUCUCACUGUAGCUUUCAUGUGAAAGUGGCUUGAUCAUGCGCAUAAGCAGAACACAUUCAGUUUCAUUGGUGCGUGUGGAUGACCAGUGAACUUGGAAGGAUUUCUAUUCCCAUGUGAUCUACUUGGUCUAUGCCUGAGCAUCAUUCCUAAAUAUAGCUCAUCAUGCCAUUCUUUUUGGUCCAUGACCACAUCAAUGUGGAUGUUCCUAUUAAAACAAAGGUACAUAAUUGAUAUUUUCCUGGAUUAUUAAUUCCUGGAUUUUGUUGCUCAGGUUUGUCUCCCACGAUUUCGUUUACUGUGAGAUGCUAUCGACACACACGGGCACACAUGCCUAAGAUGGUCUAAGGUUCAGUUUCUGGUCACUUCAAUGAGGGCAGGAUGGUGAGUAGAUGACCAUGGACCAUGGUGGGGAGGCGUGGUGUUGAGCCACUGAUGGAGGCACUACACUGUCAGGAUGUGUCUAUCGUGAUGCCAAUGAGGCAUGGCAGCAUUUGUUCUACCGGAAGGUGCUACAGUUAGGCGGUCUCUUAGUCCUUCAUCUCUAUUUUGUGUCGCUGCUUCUACUUUUGUUGUCUAAUGCAUAUAGUUGGAGGAUUUCGAUCAAAUGUCCCUAUUAGUGAAUACUGUGUUCUUAUGUAUUUCCAAAAAACUUUUUUGUUUUCACAACAAUUGGUGAGUUAGAACUAAAAGGGACCAUAUCAGAUAAUCAUUUGUAACUCUGUUAUGCAAGCCAAUUUAAAAAGUUUGUCGUAUUAUUGAUUGAUGGGUUAUAUAAUCCUCACAUUAUGGUACAGUGUGAGUGAUUUUGCA